AUCGCUUCUCGGCCUUUUGGCUAAGAUCAAGUGUAGAAAAUGUUGAUAUUAUUUGACCUUAGUUCGUUGACAUAGGAGACGGACUAAAAGUUGAUAUACUUAAAAGUUGAUAUUUAAGAAGCAGCUAAGGGCAG
rnacentral:snRNA from 1 species